AGAGAGCGUUGCCGCAGGCAACGACCCGAAGGGUGAAGCACGCAGCGCUGAGUAAUCCUUCCCCCACCACCA
rnacentral:sRNA from 1 species